ensembl:lncRNA BISPR BST2 interferon stimulated positive regulator
CUGACCAGCAGCUCUUGCAUGAGGCACCUACAGGCAGAGGAUUAAUUAGGUUUUCAGUUUCAGUUUCCCAGAAAGGAGGUGGGCUUUUUUUUCACCCUGCUUUAAAAGCCCUUGGGCCCUUCCCAGCUGGGUGCCAGCCAACUGUGGCUGCCUGGGACACUCCAUCUUAAGUCCCUGUGCCUCUGCUGUGUGUUACUGAGUGCCUAGGCCGUGCCAGCCUGUAUUCAUCUGUACUAUGACCUGAAGAGGCAGAGGCCAUCACUGUUGGUCCGGUCUCCACCUGGGGAAACUGAGGUUGCACAGUGUCUCUGUGGUGACGAGCAGGGCUUCAUCCAGUGCCUCUGUCCCCACCGAGGGGACUAUGGGAGACAUGGAGGGUGUGUGAGCAACAGGUGAGACUGGAGCCAGCUGAAAACUGGGAGACCGACCCAGCCAACAAACAAUGUCGGUCUCUGUCUUGGCACCUGCAGGAAACAAGCUCCUACUUCCAGAAAAAGUGCUCCUGGGACUCCAGGAUACCAGGCAUCUGGGUAAGCUACAAUGCUUAACCACUUAACACAAUCAGGAAGCAACAGCCAUGCAUUCGGGAAAGGAACUUCAGUGUUGUGUGGCUCAGUCUCCAGACCUAACUUUCCCUUUGGUACAGACGCGGUGGUACAUGCCUGUAAUCCCAACACUUAGGCAGGAGGAUCACUCGAGCCCAGAAGAUCAAGACUAGUGUGAGCAACAAAAUCCUUCCCUGGCACCGGUUCCAGGAGGACCUCGUUCUUAGGCAGCAUCUGUGUCUCUGUUUUGUAAGACACACAGAGUAUCCUUAACCCACUGCAGAUAUUUCCCUGGGUCCAUGGUCAAUCAACACCACCUUUCAGUCUCCAGCCUCUUAACCAGCCCAGGGCUGAGUGUUGUUUAUAGUAUUAAUAUGUUUCUGGCUGGGCUCAGUGGCUCAUGCCUGUAAUCCCGGCACUAUGGGAGGCUGAGGCAGGCGGAUCACUUGAGGUCAGGAGUUCAAGACCAGCCUGGCCAACAUAGUAAAACCCCGUCUCUACUAAAAAUACAAAAAUGAGCCGGGUGUGGUGGCGUGUGUCUAUAAUCCCAGCUACUCGGGAGGCUGAGGCAGGAGAAUUGCUUGAACCUGGGAGGUGGAGGCUACAGUGAGCUGAGAUCAUGCCACUGCACUCCAGCCUGGGCAAGAAAGUGAGACUCCAUCUCAAAACAAAGAAACAAACAAAGUAUUAAUAUGUUCCCCUUGAUCAGUGGGGUGGUUCACCCUUGUAAUCCCAGCACUUUGGGAGGCAGAGGCUGGCGGAUCGCUUGAGUCCAGGAGUUCGAGACCAGCCUGGGUGAACUAGCAAAACCCUGCCUGUACUAAAAAUACAAAAAUUAACUGGGCUUGGUGGUGCGAGCCUGUAAUCCCAGUGGAGGCUGAGACAGGAGAAUCCUUUUGUAAUGCCUGACCUUGUUUUUUUACUAACCCUAUUUUAACCUUGUUUUUACUAACCCUAUUUUUAAAUUUUCCCUUUUUGUCUCCUUAAUUACCUAGCCUUGUUUCCCAUAUGAGUAGACUCUCCCUUAGCUGGGAAAGCCUGACGAACGCCAUCUGGCCCCUUGAUUUACAAGACAUUAAGGGCUACUUACCCAACCCCCUUCCUCAAAGAGUUAACCUGCGUAAGCAGAUCCUCAGCAUUUCAAAGGAGCCCAAUUAGCUGAUAAGGUACUGGAACAAACAAUGUACGAAGUUCCCAGGAUUUUGCUCAAAAGCAUAACAACAUAAAGCCUUGAGUCUGUGUCUGGCAUAGCAUCCAUAUCUAACUCUUAUGAAGGAUUUAGAGCCCGGCACCUGGUUCCGUUGCUUUUUUUGUAACCAUUUGUCUUUUAAAUUGUUUAUUUCUCUGUAACCAUUUGUUUUUUGAUUCUUGCAUGUUUUUACUUCUGUAGAAUUAUUGCAUUUGAGCUCCGCUCCCCUUCCGAACCAAGGUAUAAAAGUAAAUCAAGCCCCUUCCUCGGGGCCGAGAGAAUUUUGGAAAGUCAAGCCUUCUCUUGGCUGCCGGCUUAAAUAAAGGACUCUUAAUU